rnacentral:rRNA from 1 species
UACGUAGGGUGCGAGCGUUGUCCGGAAUUAUUGGGCGUAAAGAGCUCGUAGGCGGUCUGUCGCGUCGGCUGUGAAAACUCGGGGCUCAACUCCGAGCUUGCAGUCGAUACGGGCAGGCUAGAGUUCGGCAGGGGAGACUGGAAUUCCUGGUGUAGCGGUGAAAUGCGCAGAUAUCAGGAGGAACACCGGUGGCGAAGGCGGGUCUCUGGGCCGAUACUGACGCUGAGACGCGAAAGCGUGGGGAGCGAACAGG